UCUUUAUUUCCUUACUUGAAAAGUAUAAUAUAAUAUAUAAUAUAAUAUAACAAUUAUAAACUCUUUAUUUAUUCUCGAAACGAAAGACUCGAAUCAAAUCCUCGAAUAUCUUUUCAUUUCAAGUAAGAAAAUGUCUGAAUUUUGACAUGGUCAAUGUAAUCCUCCUCGAAGAGGAUAUUCUAUGGAUAUUUCGUAAUAUUAUUCUGAAAAACGCGGCGCGAUAUUUAACUGAAGAGAACUGGUUUUCGUUUCGCUCGCUUAAACUAUAAGCAAGUUGCAUCCCCCGUUGAAAUCGGUGAAAUAUACGCUCGCGGCCGGGCUUACACGGCUAAUAGGAAACCGAUUUAUGCCCUCGCGCCUUCCCCGUAUUUAUUAUCAACCCGAUCCACCUUUGUAUCGGCUCUUAUCCCGCUUGAUAUUCCUCCCAGCGUGUAUUGCACCGCGGGUGUAUUGCAUCUGCUAGAUGCCUGAUAAGUCAAUUAGCGCCCCCGUUGAUUAAUAGGAAACUUAUUCGUUCGUAAAUUGGACGAUCUCCUGGUUUAAUGCUCCAAGGAUCAUCAUUUAACUCUGUCGAAUCGAAAGUAAAAAUUUCUCACGAAUUUGGAGUAUUGAAGAGGGAUGUUUAGAAGGAAUGAUCGAAUUGUUUUACUUAUCUUUCGAAUAUUAUAAAAAAAAAGAAAAGAAUCUAAUGCUUCGAGAUGGAAUAUGUGGAUAAAUAUCGAGGAGUUCCAUUUAAUUUAUAAAUUAAAUAAAAUUCUUAUAUAACUAAAUUUUAGAAUUUUAAAAAUUUAAAUUUAUUUUAUAAUUUAGAGACAGUUAAGACAAUUUAUUAUGCUACCUUUGUACAAUCAACGUUCUGCAACAUAUUUAAAUUUUACUUCAUGGAACAAAUCGACCUAAAAUUAUAAUCAUGUUUUUGUUAAAUAGGUGAAUAAUAUAUUUGCCGAGUUUUACUUACGAGAGAUGCAUCUAAUUUUGAAAAAAGAAUCUAUUCUUUCAAAAAUUUGCAACGUCGAAUCUUUCGAGGAAUUAUUUUGCAAUAAUAAGAUGUUUUCUUGACUCGAUGAUGAACGUAUAUUUUCUCUUGUAUUAUUUAGGAAAAGAUAUUCGUAGGAAUUGUUAAUCGAGUAAGAAAGAGUUGCAACUAUCCUCCCCUGGAUGAUCGUUUAAGUAUUCCUCCGGAAUUUCCUUUUGUCAGCAACAUUCGAUACUCGAUGGAUAAACGAUAUUACAUUAGCUAACUGUGCAAACAUCUCUGCCAACAUUUCGGCCACGGUGACGCGUGUUCCGCUUCCGUUUGUUUGCUCGAGGUCGGUUCGACGCACAGCUCACGUCCCCGUGACGUGCUUUUUGAUUAGUUAAACACCCUCGAUGGCAAUAUGUAAGUAUUGGACGACCAAAGCUCUUUGUAAUUUAAAACUCUUUCCACUUUUGCAAGAACGAUUAUCGAGCUCGUCGUGAACGAAUUCGAACGAAGAUUCGGAGGUCUUUGCCACGAAGGAAACAUGAACUUUGGAAGUAAGAAAAGAAAGGAAACUUAGAGAAUUAUCGUGUGGGAGAUGUCCACCAUCUUGGUUGAGAAGGUGUCACGGGGAGCGUAACCAACAACGUUUGGAAUCGAUCUCGAAACGACAAAAGGACUCCAAUUUAGAGCGAUUCCACCUUGGCUGCUCUCACGGCUGAAACAAGAAGGCGGAAAGCCGUCACUGAUCUCCUCAGAGUUUAGAAUCGGGAUCGCGAGAUAAAUAGUCAGCAUCGAUGAAUCCAGCUCAAUCACGCUGAUCUAUCAAACAGUUGAGAGUUUGCAAAAGCAAGAUUUUACUAUUAUCUCGGAAUCGAGAUUCCUUCUCGCCCCUCGUUUCGAGAGGAUGACAGGGAUUCAGAGGAACAAUAACGAAAGAUCGACUCGACGAAUCUCCAUUCCUAUCCUUACGUAACUCUUACUAAAGCAAGGCGAAGCCGAAGAACUCCGAGCCCCCUGGGUCCCCCCCACCCCCGCCGCUUCCGUUCCAACGGAAUAUUCCAAGUUUUCGAUCGAAGCACGAGCUGAUCGGCUUUUUGCAGCGACUGCUUUUUGCGCGAUCAUCGCCACCUUCGUCACGGCCACGCCCGGGCACGUGAGGCCAUGAACAACACGGUGUUACAGGUGUUUGCCCAUCCCCUCUCCCUCCCGCCUCGAACCUUCUUUCAUACCCUUUUCGGCCCUCGGCCUCUAUUAACCGGUAAGCAAGCCCACCGCAAAACUUUUCCCAACGCCGACUCAUGUUUUAUUUAAUUCCUCCCUUCCCCCUCCUCUCUCCUCCUUCCCGAUUUCGAUUCCUCUUCUUUCCCAGAGAGCCUCGUCUCGCCUGGAAAGCCGAUAAUUCUAUAUAUCCUCGAUAAUACUUCUUCCUUCUUCCAUUUCCAUUGUUUUUUUUCCUCUCCUCCCUUCCUCUCCGUCCCUUUUUUUUUUCGGAGCUCGUUUUGGUCCACGGCGCGCGUCGUCCACUUGCAAGUUUUUAGCCGAGAUCCCUCUCCUGUCACGAUUUUAAACGCAACAAUGGACGAGGAGGGAGGGAGGAACUCUGGUACGGUUAUUGUUUCGCGAGGCAGAAAUCUUGGGAGGAGGAGGAGAUCGUUUUUUGUACAAGUAAGAUCGUAGGAAUUUGUAGGAAUUGUAGAGAGAGUGAUUAAGAUUAUUAUAUUUUAAUUCGUGUUUCCUCGAUCGAAAAUAAAUAAAUAAGUUUUCGAGUAAAAUGGAAUAAUCUUCGUUUGACGCGAGAGAGGCAAUUUUUAAGGCAUUGAUCAUCUUUUUCUAAGAAGGAGGGAUCAAUUCCGUGAGAUAAACCGUAUUCAAGAGAACGAUAAAGGCACAGAUGUCCGAGUUCUAGUUAGUCAAUGGUUUUUCAGCAGGUAAAAAGUGGGUAGUAAAACAAGCCAAGUGUGAUCGGUUAUGUGUGCAAAGGGGUGUGUGGGUGGCGAUCGAAGGGGCGGCGGUCUCGUCUGCUCGGUGAACCGUGGAUUAAGAUAAACCCUUCAUCGGGGUUUUCUUAUCCAGCGAUUCUUUCUUUACGUACGUUCUCGCGAGGGUGGAAGAAUAUUCUGGCUCAAAGUGAUCGUCACUCUCAUUAAAAUUAUUAUAUUUAAUGCCUUUGUUGGAAACGAGUUGGAAAAAAGUGGCAAAAGUAUAAAUUCGAUAGAGUUAAUAUAUCCAGUGAUUAUUAUCCACUUUCUACCUUUGAAAAUUUUAACCAAUUUCUCGUCACGGCUCGUUACACUUUAAUUUCAUUCCCAUUUGCCGGAAAGACCUCUUGCGAGAUAUUUUCUCGAAUCUCGCUUCUCCUUUCUGCUAAUCUUCUGGAUAAUCUUCAGAAUGUAAACACGUAUACAAAGUGUCAAGAAUUAGUUUCCAAGUUCGUUUUACAAAAGUAUUUUAUCGUUUCUUCUUCUAUAAACAGAGAAAUCUCCUUUUUCUCAAAAUAUUCUCACUCGAUUAAAUUUAUGAUUCAAUUUAUUUUAUAAUCCAAUCAUAUUCUCUCUAUCCCAUCCUCUUCUUAUUCCAUGUAAAUACAAACAUGUCAUAGUGUUAAGAGAAUCGUUCAGGAUGAAAGAAAGAGUUAUAUUCAGAAAUUUCGUACAUUCAUAUUUCCUUAGAAAGCUUAUUGAUUACGAAUAUUAAUUCCAUUUGUUGAAAACGAAUAUGCACAUUCAUUUAAACCCUUUACAUACCAAUCACGUAGAAAAUCCUUCCUCUUUUAAAAAACACAAUCUCUUCUUGUCUCUCGUGUUUCCGGUAAGAAAUCCGUACACGUUCCACGGUCGAAAACUGACUGGUUCGCAACAAGAAACCCGUAUCCCGUUCACCUAAUUUUUCCAAGGCGAAAACGCCUUGUAUACCAUAACCACGAUAACUCAUAAUUCCCCGGAACAACCAAAAAGUAAAAAAUCGCGUUUCAUACAGGAAACAGUGGUACGUAGCCCGAUUUAAUCGAGCCCUCCUUCUCUUCCCCUCUUCUUUCUGGCAGAGCUUCAACCCCUUUGGAAGAAGGAAGGGAGGUUACGGAUGGGUUUGCCGGCUCUUGGUUUUCUGCUCGCUUAAGAAACGACGUGUUUGCCGGACGUCGAAGGGAGCCCCAUAACCUGUCCGACUGGCUGCCACCACUGGCUCGACAGAUAUACUACACGAAGCCACCACCGCACAACCACCACUGUUGGACGUCCAUGUAGCGUCGUUGAGGAAUCGUCGAAUGACGUUGGUGACACCGACGCCAUCCUGGCCGAGGGAAAAACUUCUUGGCCGGAUGGAUCGAUGGAUCCGUCAAACGGAUUUCGAGGCCGGGAUUAUUUAUGGGAUACUUUUUUCCUUGGAUUAUGCGCAAUGGAUUAUGCUUUUCUUACGUUCCUCGAUCGGAAAAAUUGGGGAAAUUCUCGGUGGUUUUAAUUAAUCUCGCGUUGCAAGUGAAGUAUCUGGCUUUUCCUUCGUCAGAAAUCCACUUUUCCUCCGAAUCUGUGAUUAUUAAUCAUCAUUACUCGAUCCUUCAACUUUAUAUAUAAGACAGAACUUCAGAAUAUAAUUCUUUGACUCGCUAAAUCUCAAGAAAUUCGAAGAAGAAUACUUUUAUUAAAACGAGCGAAUAUUAAAAGUAUCGAUAAAUGAAAUAAAGAAAAGGAAUGACGAUUCCAUCGAUCCACUUGGAAAUCGAUAAAUUCCACCUUUCGAGCAACAAUUAAACCGGGAGAGGUUGUCAGGUAAGAAACAGGCGCAGGAAGAGGCGAAUCGAAUGACGGGGGCAGAAGAAACUAGAGACGGUUUCCACGUAGCUCGAUCAUGAAUCGAUCGAUCGAUACCGAUCGAUAUUCAACGCGCAUGCUAAUGCGCGGAAUUAAUAGUCGCGCUGCACGCCACCACCACCCGUGGCACAGUCGCAUAUCAGCUUCUUCCCUCCUCCCCUCCCCUCCCUCUUUUUUCUUCUUUUCUUCUUUUUCUCGAAGCUAGACCAGGUUUUGCAAUCGUACGGCACGGUGAAGAACGACGCGGUCGUUCUCAUUCGUAUGCGGCAUACGUGGCCGCGAACGAGCUUAUAAGUAACGCAGUAAUGACACAGGCUGUCAUGGCGGUCGUGGAACAGUUUUCUCGGCUCCCAUUGUCGUUAGUUGCUGAUUUAUCGGCGCCGCCAGGGAAAUUCUGUAUCAAUCUGCAUCGACAUGCGUCGUUUUUCUUUUCGUAGAAACCGAGAGGGUUCACGCUGAAGGGGGCUCUUUUUGUUGGAGAAUUUUUUUAACAUUAUUCGAUAGUUUCUUUUAUCUUUCUUCUUCUUCUUUUUCUUUGAGCGUGAAACUUG
rnacentral:lncRNA from 1 species